GACGAACGCUGGCGGCGUGCUUAACACAUGCAAGUCGAACGGAAAGGCCCUGCUGUUGUGGGGUGCUCGAGUGGCGAACGGGUGAGUAACACGUGAGUAACCUGCCCUUGACUUUGGGAUAACUUCAGGAAACUGGGGCUAAUACCGGAUAGGAGCUCCUGCUGCAUGGAGGGGGUUGGAAAGUUUCGGCGGUUGGGGAUGGGCUCGCGGCUUAUCAGCUUGUUGGUGGGGUGGUGGCUUACCAAGGCUUUGACGGGUAGCCGGCCUGGGAGGGUGACCGGCCACAUUGGGACUGAGAUACGGCCCAGACUCCUACGGGAGGCAGCAGUGGGGAAUAUUGCACAAUGGGCGGAAGCCUGAUGCAGCAGCGCCGCGUGUGGGAUGACGGCCUUCGGGUUGUAAACCGCUUUCGCCUGUGACGAAGCGUGAGUGACGGUAAUGGGUAAAGAAGCACCGGCUAACUACGUG
rnacentral:rRNA from 1 species